rnacentral:rRNA from 1 species
CUGCUCAAUGAAAAUUUUAAAUAGCUGCAGUAUUUUGACUGUACAAAGGUAGCAUAAUCAUUUGUCUUUUUAAUGAAGUCUAGAAUGAAUGGUUUGAUGAAAUAAUGACUGUCUCAAAUUAAUUUGUUGAAUUUUAUUUUAAGUAAAAAUUCUUAAAAUUAUUUAAAAGACGAGAAGACCCUAUAGAAUUUUAUUAAUUUUGUUAUUUUAUAAUAAAUAACAAAAUUAUUUUUGAUGGGGUAUUAGUAAAAUUUAAUGAAUUUUUAUAAUUUUAAAUCAUAAAUUAAUGAAUUGUGUAUCCAAUAAUAUUGAAUUUAAAAGAAAUUACCUUAGGGAUAACAGCGUAAUUAUUUUGGAAAGUUCUUAUUGAUAAAAUAGAUUGCGACCUCGAUGUUGAAUUAAGAUUAAUUAUUAAUGUAGAAGUUAUAAGAUUUAGUCUGUUCGACUAUU